GAUUUUUAUUGUGUUAUACAUAUUAGUUAUAAUAAUGUGUAUACAGCAGCCUCUAUUUAUCUCGGAAAAUGUUAAAUAUAUGCAUAUGUUUAUUUUCUUUUUUUUUCAUGUACCUCUUCUGACAUCGGACUCGGUAUUCUCUCAAUCUGAAUUUAAUGUUCGUAUUGUUAUGCGUUUUCUUUUCUACAUUUGCUAGAGGUAUAGGGAGGGUUGAGAUCUCAAAAAACAUGUUUAACCCCGUCGCAUUUUUGCGCUGUCCCAAGUCAGGACAUUCUGGCCUUUGUUAGUCUUGUAUGAUUUUUUUUUAGUUUCUUGUGUAAAAUACGGAGUUUAGUAUGGCGUCCAUUAUCCCUGUACUAGUAUAGAUAUUUGUUUAGGGACCAGCUUAAGGACGCCUCGAGAGCGGGAGUUUCUCGAUGUAUUGAGACUAUUGGUGACCUUCUGC
rnacentral:lncRNA from 1 species